rnacentral:rRNA from 1 species
CGCAGGCUGCAACCCGCCUGCGUGAAGUUGGAAUCGCUAGUAAUCGCGGAUCAGCAUGCCGCGGUGAAUACGUUCCCGGGCCUUGUACACACCGCCCGUCACACCAUGAGAGUCGGGAACACCCGAAGUCCGUAGCCUAACCGGAAGGGGGGCGCGGCCGAAGGUGGGUUCGAUAAUUGGGGUGAAGUCGUAACAAGGUACC